GAUGAAGAACGUAGCGAAAUGCGAUAAGUAAUGUGAAUUGCAGAAUUCAGUGAACCAUCGAAUCUUUGAACGCACAUUGCGCCCGCCAGUAUUCUGGCGGGCAUGCCUGUUCGAGCGUCAUUUCAACCCUCAGGCCCCCCUUCGCGGGCGGGCCUGGUGUUGGGGCCCGGCCGCUACCCUGCGGCCGUCCCCUAAAUUCAGUGGCGGCCUCGCCGUGAUCCCUUGCGUAGUAAUGCACCUCGCACCGGAGAGCGCCGUGGCCACGCCGUAAAACCCCCAAUUUUCAAUGGUUGACCUCGGAUCAGGUGGGAAUACCCGCUGAACUUAAGCAUAUUAAUAAGCGGAGGA
rnacentral:misc_RNA from 1 species